CAGAGGCAGGGACAGCUCUCAGGAGAGAACCAUGCCCUGGCGUUGAACUUGAGUUGGCUGCUGGGAUACAGGCAAGCAUCUGAAUGGUCCGCCUCAGAGUCCUAAUCAACACAUAACACUACCUCAAUGUGUUUUCUCCUUUAACGUGGUUUUUUUUCCUUAAAAAACAACCUGAGUUAAUGGUUGCUUUGGUCACGGUGCUUCAUCAUAGCAAUAGUAACCAGAACCAAGACCAUGAUACAUGUGAAGAAAGGGAGAGAUGGGCUUGCCGCCCUUGAUAGCCGGACAUCUCUUCUUGGAACAGACAAUACAUGUUUGCAGAAAGCACAGAGUCCUACUUUGAGAAUGGCAGCUGGAAUCGUGGUUUUCUUUUCUGGUUUGUUGGAGCUGCGGAUUUGAAGCUAGAUCUCACACAAGAAGUGAGCAACAGUAAAGGACCCAGAUCCCCUCCCAUGCAGGGUGAUUUUAAUGAAGAAGAGAUAAUAAAGAGUCGACCGCAUCCCCAGAGAGAAUGAAAGGAUGCAGGGGAGAAACCACACCUACGAAACAAAAGGCGGCAAGGGAGCACGUCAAGAACACACACAAAGAAACCAAGACAGUGACGUCAGACCCGAAGACCCAGCAGAACUCUACAAACAGAGGAACCCAGACACAGAACCACACAUCCAGGAGGAGCCAGCUGACGAGAGAAAAGUGUUCUCUGAAGUGGACCUGGGUCUUCCCUCCAUCUCUUCUGCACUGACCCUGGAGCCUGGGGAGGUGGCAAUGUGAUCCAGAUCUCCAGCUAAGGGCUGAGCAUGCUAAAGUCUCUUACUGUCUGCACCUUGACCAGGUUUCUGUGCUUAUGCUUACCUAGCACCUAAGGAAGCUUUUUUGGUGAGGGUUCAGAGACGCAAGGACCUGUUGGAAAUAAUGAUAAA
rnacentral:lncRNA from 1 species